rnacentral:rRNA from 1 species
AAUCCAUAGGUUAAUGAGGCGAACCGGGGGAACUGAAACAUCUAAGUACCCCGAGGAAAAGAAAUCAACCGAGAUUCCCCCAGUAGCGGCGAGCGAACGGGGAGGAGCCCAGAGCCUGAAUCAGCAUGUGUGUUAGUGGAAGCGUCUGGAAAGGCGCGCGAUACAGGGUGACAGCCCCGUACACAAAAGCGCAUGUGCUGUGAGCUCGAUGAGUAGGGCGGGACACGUGGUAUCCUGUCUGAAUAUGGGGGGACCAUCCUCCAAGGCUAAAUACUCCUGACUGACCGAUAGUGAACCAGUACCGUGAGGGAAAGGCGAAAAGAACCCCGGCGAGGGGAGUGAAAAAGAACCUGAAACCGUGUACGUACAAGCAGUGGGAGCACAGGUUUACCUGUGUGACUGCGUACCUUUUGUAUAAUGGGUCAGCGACUUAUAUUCUGUAGCAAGGUUAACCGAAUAGGGGAGCCGGAGGGAAACCGAGUCUUAAUUGGGCGUUAAGUUGCAGGGUAUAGACCCGAAACCCGGUGAUCUAGCCAUGGGCAGGUUGAAGGUUGGGUAACACUAACUGGAGGACCGAACCGACUAAUGUUGAAAAAUUAGCGGAUGACCUGUGGCUGGGGGUGAAAGGCCAAUCAAACCGGGAGAUAGCUGGUUCUCCCCGAAAGCUAUUUAGGUAGCGCCUCGUGAAUUCAUCUCCGGGGGUAGAGCACUGUUUCGGCUAGGGGGCCAUCCCGGCUUACCAACCCGAUGCAAACUGCGAAUACCGGAGAAUGUUAUCACGGGAGACACACGGCGGGUGCUAACGUCCGUCGUGAAGAGGGAAACAACCCAGACCGCCAGCUAAGGUCCCAAAGUCAUGGUUAAGUGGGAAACGAUGUGGGAAGGCCCAGACAGCCAGGAUGUUGGCUUAGAAGCAGCCAUCAUUUAAAGAAAGCGUAAUAGCUCACUGGUCGAGUCGGCCUGCGCGGAAGAUGUAACGGGGCUAAACCAUGCACCGAAGCUGCGGCAGCGAACGUAUCACUUAAAGCGAUUCAGCGGGUUACGAUUGACGGAGCGAAGCGACGUCAAAGCGUAUACAAAGUCGAGUCGGUUUAAGGAUACGUUCGUUGGGUAGGGGAGCGUUCUGUAAGCCUGUGAAGGUGUGUCGUGAGGCAUGCUGGAGGUAUCAGAAGUGCGAAUGCUGACAUAAGUAACGAUAAAGCGGGUGAAAAGCCCGCUCGCCGGAAGACCAAGGGUUCCUGUCCAACGUUAAUCGGGGCAGGGUGAGUCGACCCCUAAGGCGAGGCCGAAAGGCGUAGUCGAUGGGAAACGGGUUAAUAUUCCCGUACUUGGUGUUACUGCGAAGGGGGGACGGAGAAGGCUAUGUUGGCCGGGCGACGGUUGUCCCGGUUUAAGCGUGUAGGUGUGUGUUCCAGGUAAAUCCGGUU